rnacentral:rRNA from 1 species
UACAGAGGGUGCGAGCGUUAAUCGGAAUUACUGGGCGUAAAGCGUGCGCAGGCGGUUUUGUAAGCCAGAUGUGAAAUCCCCCGGGCUUAACCUGGGAAUGGCAUUUGGGACUGCAAGGCUUGAGUGCGGCAGAGGAGACUGGAAUUCCUGGUGUAGCAGUGAAAUGCGUAGAUAUCAGGAGGAACACCGAUGGCGAAGGCAGGUCUCUGGGCUGACACUGACGCUCAUGCACGAAAGCGUGGGGAGCAAACAGG